AGAAACCAGUUAUAUUUGAACAUAAAUAAACAACUAAUUUUUAGUGUAAGUAUAUCCCACAUAUUAUAUGGGACCUACUUAUGCUAAAAUUUUCUUCAUUGUUUUACUGAAAUUUAACUG
rnacentral:miRNA from 1 species